ACGGGGAGCACCACAACAGGUGGAGCCUGCGGUUAAUCGGACUCAACGCCGGAAAUCUCACCGGAUAAGACAGCUGGAUGAUAGCCGGGCUGAAGACUCUACUUGACUAGCUGAGAGGAGGUGCAUGGCCGUCGUCAGUUCGUACUGUGAAGCAUCCUGUUAAGUCAGGCAACGAGCGAGACCCACGCCAACAGUUGCCAGCUCGUCCUCCGGGAUGGUGGGGACACUGUUGGGACCGCCUCUGCUAAAGAGGAGGAAGGAAUGGGCAACGGUAGGUCAGCAUGCCCCGAAUUAUCUGGGCUACACGCGGGCUACAAUGGGUGGGACAAUGGGUAUCGACACCGAAAGGUGAAGGCAAUCUCCUAAACCCAUCCGUAGUUCGGAUUGUGGGCUGCAACUCGCCCACAUGAAGCUGGAAUCUGUAGUAAUCGUGUCUCAAAAUGGCACGGUGAAUAUGUCCCUGCUCCUU
rnacentral:rRNA from 1 species